CUGAAUUCAUAAAAGAACAAUAUUUUGGUUGUCCAUGCAAUCCAACAAUUGAAUGCAGUAUUUUGCUCAUACAAGAGAAGCAACCAAAGAUCAUACAUCAGCUACAGAGCUCCGCUGUCUCCAUUCCCGUCUGCACGCUGCUGCCUCUAUCCUCUUCCCCUCUUCUUGGUGCAUAUAGUGCCUGGCUGGUCGGACGCUUUUGAUUGCUGGCCUACGGUUUGAGGUAAAAAUGUUUUGGGCAGAUCGCAAAUGGAAGAAUCACAGCGCACAUAAAACUAAGGGCACUAUCAUGUUUUGAGGUACAAGAUUUCGUGAUUUUUCUUCACAUUUGAUCUUUAAUCUCUUUUAUUCAUUUUCAUAAUAUAAGAUUGAUUAUAUGAGAUAUUGCUGCAUGCUUAUAUGCUUAAAAAAGGUUCUUGAGGGGCUCUCCUGUGCAUUAUAUGAUUGUACCUCACUCUCCUUGUGUGCUCAAUGAAGAUGAAGAUACCCUUUAUUUCCUACAGUGGCUUGGGAAGGGGAGUAAUACCGUUACUUGCUGGGUAAAAGGCCAGAGAAACGUUGUUGCGUCUGCUCCGAGUGUAGAGGUCUUCCAUGGCGGUGCAGGGCCAAGGUCCUCCAUUUGGUGAUGGCAGUGGUGUUAGCAUUUGGCGGUGCACCCACAUUAGAUUUAUGUUUUCGAUGCGUUGUGGCCUCUAAAGAUCGAACUGCAACGAGAUUAUUUAGAUGUUAUAACUUUUGUACCUUCUAUUAUUGUCAAAAGGAAAUACAGAAUGUUAGUUAUUGUAGUAUAUUUAGCUAUUUUCUUGAUUGUGUAUAAACAUUUCUGUUCUUUUCCAAAUUUGUGUGUUUAGUUAUAA